AUUUUACAGAAUAGUGAUUUUUUUCUGUAUUGUUUCCAUAUGUACAUAUAUUUAUUCAGAUCUAGUAAAUGUAGUCUCUGGCUUCUCCCUUUCUCCAGCCUUUUUCUUUUCUUCAUUCCUUCUCUUCUUUCAGAGUAUUUGGUUUUGCUUUUAAGAUGCCAUAUGUGAGAGCAAACCUCUGCAUGACUGGAUACUCUGCACUGAGUGGGUACUCUGUCUGGGUUUGUUGUGUUUCCAAUUAAAAUCUUUCUUGCUUACUCUUUGUGAGGAAGAUCGUUGGCAUUUUGAUGGUAUUACAUAGAAUCCAUACCAAUUUUGGUUGGUAAUAUGGCCAUUUUCAGUGUUACCAUGGGGUGCCCUUCUGUCUUCUAGUGUUCACUUUCUUUCCCGUCACUCAGUAGUUUUUAUUUUAGUGAUCUUCCACCUUGGUUAGGUGAUUUCUUAGAAUGAAUGGGAAUACACACACACACACACACACACACACACACACACACACACACACACACAUAAAAGUUAUUUUAAGUUAUUGUGAAUGGGAUUUUUCUUACAACUUAUUUCUUGAUUAGCUCCUAGAGUAUAAAGACAAGCUACUAGGUUUUGUGAGUUGUUCUUUGUCCUGCUACAUUGUUGACUUUGUUUCAGUUCUCAAAGACUGUAGUUUCUUUCAGGACUAUGUAUGGUCUGCCAGCAGGGAUGGGUUCCCCUCUGCUUCCCUCUCAUUGUCUUGCCUUUAACAGUUCAGAAGAGUUCAGGAGCGUGUCUGUCAAGUCCACGCUUUAAUCAUAGUGUCACUGGCUCCUACUGCUCUGUUUUGUAUUUAGGUAAAUUUUGGUGGGUUAUCUGGAAAUUUCCCUGUUUCUUCUAAAAUUUUCUGUUCAUUGUAAUACAGUUUUAAAAAUAUUCUCUAAUGAUAUCUGGAUUUCAGUUAUAUCUUUUAAUGACCCCAUCCUCUCCUCUGUGUUACUUCCCUCUUCCACUUUACUUUGGCCAUGGGUUUGUAGCUCUUGUUUAUCUUCUCAAAGAUCCAACUGUUUCUUUGUUAUUUUUAUUAUUUGGGUUUGUUUUUUUUUUUUGGUCUCUGACUCACUAUUGCUUUGAUCUUCAUUUUCUUCUGCUGAUUUGGGAUUUGGUUUGUUCUUGCUGUUUAAGACCUGGAGAUGCAUUGUUAGAUACCUCAUCCUUCAUCCCUCGGGUACUCAGAGCUACAAACUUCUAUUUUAGAUUGCAUUUUUGGUAUCCCAUAGAUUUAUUUGUAUGGUUUCUAUAAUUUGAAUCCAUAAUUUAAAAAAUGUCCCAUUUUUCUUCAGUGAGUCACUGUUCAUUUAAACUGUUCUGUUCAGCCUCCCCUUUUCAUAGUUAUUUCUGCUGUUGCUUUCUAGUUUUAUUCUAUUACAAUGUGAUAAGUAGAAUAGCUCCCCCAACCCAACUUGUUUCAUGCCAUAAGACAUCUGUGACUUUGCUUCUUUUUGUUGCUGUGGCCAAGGCCACUUAUAGAAGGAUUUAUUUGGGCUAAUGGUUCUGGAGGGAUAAGAAGCCAUCAAUGUCACAGGGAAGGGUGGCAACAGGCAGACAAGUGGCUGGUACACAUGAAGAGUCCCACAUCUUCAAACUCAAGCAGAAAGCAGAGAACUGGUACUGGUAUGUAGUUUACAAACCUCAAAGCCUGCCUCAAGUGACGUUUCCUCUAGGAAGGCCACACCUCCUAAACCUACCCAAACAGUGUCACCAGUUGUGUUGUCAUUUAAAUACCUGAGCCUAAGGGGACAUUCUCAAACACCACAAUUAGAUGAAGAGAGUGUAUAUUCUGUAGCUGUUGGAUGGAAUACUCUGUAGAUAAUCUAUUAAACCCAUGUGAUGUAUAGAGUAGUUUAAUGCUUCUCGGUUGAUCUCCCUCUUUACCCAACUGCAUCUUCAGGUAAAAUAGCAUUUUGUUAAAAUCACUGUUAAUAUAUUAUACUUUAUGUCCAGUAGUGUUUGAAUUAUGAAGUUGAGUGUUUAAACAUAACAGUGAGUCUGUGUGUGUGUGUGUGUGUGUGUGUGUGUGUGUGUGUGUGUGUGUGUCUCUGUCUGUCUGUGCGAGCAUGCACAGGAUAUCUCUUCUCAGGGCUGGAGACAGCUCAGCAGUUAAGAACACUGUCUGCUCUUCUAGAGGACCCAGAUUUAAUUCCUAGCACCCAUAAAGCAGUUUAUACCUGUCUGUUACUCCAGUUCCAGGGGAUCAGAUACCCACACAGAUACACAUGCAGGCAAAACACCAAUGUACAUAAAAAUAAAAUCAUUUUUAAAAUUACU
rnacentral:lncRNA from 1 species